UGAGGAAUAUUGGUCAAUGGGUGCGAGCCUGAACCAGCCAUCCCGCGUGAAGGACGACUGCCCUAUGGGUUGUAAACUUCUUUUGUAUAGGGAUAAACCUACCCUCGUGAGGGUAGCUGAAGGUACUAUACGAAUAAGCACCGGCUAACUCCGUGCCAGCAGCCGCGGUAAUACGGAGGGUGCAAGCGUUAUCCGGAUUUAUUGGGUUUAAAGGGUCCGUAGGCGGACUUAUAAGUCAGUGGUGAAAGCCUGUCGCUUAACGAUAGAACUGCCAUUGAUACUGUAAGUCUUGAGUAUAUUUGAGGUAGCUGGAAUAAGUAGUGUAGCGGUGAAAUGCAUAGAUAUUACUUAGAACACCUAUUGCGGAGGCAGGUUACCAAGAUAUAACUGACGCUGAGGGACGAAAGCGUGGGGAGCGAACA
rnacentral:rRNA from 1 species